AACGAACGCUGGCGGCAUGCCUAACACAUGCAAGUCGAACGAGACCUUCGGGUCUAGUGGCGCACGGGUGCGUAACGCGUGGGAACCUGCCCUUAGGUUCGGAAUAACUCCCCGAAAGGGGUGCUAAUACCGGAUAAUGUCUUCGGACCAAAGAUUUAUCGCCUUUGGAUGGGCCCGCGUUGGAUUAGCUAGUUGGUAGGGUAAAAGCCUACCAAGGCGACGAUCCAUAGCUGGUCUGAGAGGAUGAUCAGCCACACUGGGUCUGAGACACGGCCCAGACUCCUACGGGAGGCAGCAGUGGGGAAUAUUGGACAAUGGGCGAAAGCCUGAUCCAGCAAUGCCGCGUGAGUGAUGAAGGCCUUAGGGUUGUAAAGCUCUUUUACCCGGGAUGAUAAUGACAGUACCGGGAGAAUAAGCUCCGGCUAACUCCGCG
rnacentral:rRNA from 1 species